UGGUGGCGAUAGCGAAGAGGUCACACCCGUUCCCAUUCCGAACACGGCAGUUAAGCUCUUCAGCGCCGAUGGUAGUUGGGGGUUUCCCCCUGUGAGAGUAGGACGCCGCCAAGCC
rnacentral:rRNA from 2 species